rnacentral:rRNA from 1 species
AACACAUGCAAGUCGAGCGCACUCUUCGGAGUGAGCGGCGGACGGGUUAGUAACGCGUGGGAACAUACCCUUUUCUACGGAAUAGCCUCGGGAAACUGAGAGUAAUACCGUAUACGCCCUUCGGGGGAAAGAUUUAUCGGAGAAGGAUUGGCCCGCGUUUGAUUAGAUAGUUGGUGGGGUAAUGGCCUACCAAGUCUACGAUCAAUAGCUGGUUUGAGAGGAUGAUCAGCAACACUGGGACUGAGACACGGCCCAGACUCCUACGGGAGGCAGCAGUGGGGAAUCUUAGACAAUGGGCGCAAGCCUGAUCUAGCCAUGCCGCGUGAGUGACGAAGGCCUUAGGGUCGUAAAGCUCUUUCGCCAGAGAUGAUAAUGACAGUAUCUGGUAAAGAAACCCCGGCUAACUCCGUGCCAGCAGCCGCGGUAAUACGGAGGGGGUUAGCGUUGUUCGGAAUUACUGGGCGUAAAGCGUACGUAGGCGGAUUGGAAAGUAUGGGGUGAAAUCCCAGGGCUCAACCCUGGAACUGCCCUGUAAACUAUCAGUCUAGAGUUCGAGAGAGGUGAGUGGAAUUCCAAGUGUAGAGGUGAAAUUCGUAGAUAUUUGGAGGAACACCGAUGGCGAAGGCACUUUACUGGGCUAUUACUGACACUCAGAGACGAAAGCUAGGGUAGCAAAUGGGAUUAGAUACCCCAGUAGUCCUAGCCGUAAACAAUGGAUACUAGAUGUUGAACAGAUCGACCUGUGCAGUAUUAAAGCUAACGCGUUAAGUAUCCCGCCUGGGAAGUAUGCACGCAAGUGUGAAACUCAAAGGAAUUGACGGGGGCCCGCACAGCGGUGGAGCAUGUGGUUUAAUUCGAUGCAACGCGAGACCUUACCAGGGUUUGACAUGAUACGAAUUUCUUUGAAAGAGAAAGUGCUUUUGGACGUAUACACAGUUGGUGCAUGCUGUCGUCAGCCUCGCGUCGUGAGAAUGUGGGUAGUCCCGCCACGAGGCGCCAACCCCCUAU